UUUGAGAAUUUUUUGUUAAAUCUUGAAUUUUAGUUUUGGAUUCAGAGAGAGAAGCUUAAGAAAACAAAUUUGAACUUCAAUUCGUGAUUUGGAAAAAUAUUAGAGAGAGAGAGAGAUCAUCGAUCGAUAUAGAGAGAGCCCAUGGCUGUUCACAAGGAGAAAGCUUGCAUUGAAGUCAUUUGGAAUCCUAAAACAGGGCAGCUUGUUGAUAUUUCCAUUAGCUGAUUUCUGGACACGGGGAUUUGUAAGGAAAAACUGAGAAGGAGCUUGAGAUGAUAUUGAAGAGAACAUUGCAAAAUAUCUGUCUUUUUUGACUGUUCAAUGUCAAUGCCAAUGUUUCUCUCCCUCCUUUAUAAGGCCUAUAAAUAUCUGUUAAUUCUUUGACCAAGCAUUUGUAAGCUUCUUCCAUGUGCCAUACACGAAACUUGUGCUGCUCUUUUAGAUGCUGGAAUCCCUCGCAGGUAUACAAAUUGUGUAGUGUUUGUCUCUGAUGUUUCUAUAAUCCAGAUUUAUAGAUUGAGUUGAGUUCUGAGAGUAUUGCGUUCUUUUCCUCUAUUCUCCUUACGUUGUUGUCUCACCGAAAUUGGGCAAAUAUUAUUGGACCCGAGCAAGCUAGAAGAACAGCUUGAGCUUUGUUACAGCCAAAAGCAACAAUGGCAGAGCAACAAUGUUUUUGGGUAGUUGGAUAGAUUAAGAUUUCAAAUUUGUUGUAUGUAAUUGGUUAAAUUUUUU